rnacentral:rRNA from 1 species
AUUGAACGCUGGCGGCAGGCUUAACACAUGCAAGUCGAGCGGGGGAAGGUAGCUUGCUACUGGACCUAGCGGCGGACGGGUGAGUAAUGCUUAGGAAUCUGCCUAUUAGCGGGGGACAACAUCUCGAAAGGGAUGCUAAUACCGCAUACGUCCUACGGGAGAAAGCAGGGGAUCUUCGGACCUUGCGCUAAUAGAUGAGCCUAAGUCGGAUUAGCUAGUUGGUGGGGUAAAGGCCUACCAAGGCGACGAUCUGUAGCGGGUCUGAGAGGAUGAUCCGCCACACUGGGACUGAGACACGGCCCAGACUCCUACGGGAGGCAGCAGUGGGGAAUAUUGGACAAUGGGGGGAACCCUGAUCCAGCCAUGCCGCGUGUGUGAAGAAGGCCUUAUGGUUGUAAAGCACUUUAAGCGAGGAGGAGGCUACUCUAGUUAGUACCUAGGGAUAGUGGACGUUACUCGCAGAAUAAGCACCGGCUAACUCUGUGCCAGCCGCCGCAGUAA